CUAUUAUUAACUCUAAAAGAGCAAAUAAUUCUUCUCUCAAUUCUUCAUCUCAAUUUUUCUUUUUGGGUGCUGCCUGCCUUUUCAAUAAUUGUAGUUUCUGGUCAUGCGCGUUGCUGCAUCUACAGUAAAUAGAAAUUUAAGAAUGAAUAACAAUUAUAAAUUAAGAACGGAAACUUUUUCUCUUACCAUUGGAAACGACAGAGAGGAAACCCUUGGCGUUCGGUUCUUUCGAUUGCGGAAUUGAUAUUCGGAAUCUUGGAUUCAUUAGAUUAAUUCGGAAUUGCGACCAGAUUUCUCCCUUGAGAUUGAGAAAGAAUUUUGAUUGCGGAAUUGAUAUUCAUCAAUUAAUACUAUAGCAACUGCUGACCAGUAAAGAUGCCAAAGUUUUUCGGAACACCGAAAAAACUGUCGUCGGUUUUUUUUCCUCAGAUACCUCCAGUCCGUAAGUCAUGAAAAUGACGGAGGACGGAUCGAUGCCAGCUUUAUCUAAUUUCUUCAAAUUCACCGCCUAAUUUAAAAAAAGAUAGUAACAUUAGUAACUAAUAAUAAGAAUAAAAAUAACUUACAGUUACUUACAUAAUUAGCUCUUUUGGCAUUGCAAUCGCCGGGACAAUUCAUCAUAUUGCCGACUUUCCAAUUUUCGGCGUAAUGGUAAGCAAAAAGAUAGGAAACAUAACCCAAUGGCAGAUGUAGAUCUUCUUCGCCGGGUGCUGAACGAUCAUGUUUAACCUAACGUUCUUCGGUGCUCAAAAUUGAUCCGCGACCAGCAGCUUCUUGAAUUAUGUGAAUUUCAUAGUCCAGUCCAGUUUGCUCACGAAGAAAAGCUUUGAUUUGCCUGAAAUAAUUGAUACAACAAUUAUUAAGAGAACAACAUGACAUGUAUAAGUGAAAAAUUACGGAGAAUUUUCGACAACAGUGUCUUGUAACUUUUUAAAAAAAGAAACAGGAAUCGCUUUUCCGGAUGAGGAUCUCGUGGUAAGAACUACGCAAAAUACAUUUGCGGACGACUGGAGAAGACUUAGGGGAGGUACAACCCAUUUUACAACAGUGGAUUUUAUUGGUGGACCGAAUUCUUUGCAUCCAAUGCAAAUAUGACGAAACAUGUCCACAUUAUCCACUUGCCCUUGAUGACCAUCGUCCUGGCACCAGACACCCAAGCCUUCGCUAUUUACGUCAAUCGCUACGAUGACUUCGCCAAUUGGAGUGCGGUAGCCACUUUCCAUUUUCGGAAGACGUGAAAUGGGACCUUUUUUCCCUGUCACUAUUGUCAGCAAGCUUCGGAAGCUAUCGAAGAGCUCGAGAAUCAACAGCGCGCCUCACUAGCUUCUCAUCAGGCGGAACAACGAUCUCUACAGCAGAAACUUCAAAAAGAAGCAAGAAGGAGAUGGAUAAGCUGCAAGCAAAAGUGGAUCAGCUCAUCAGUGAGUCGUCGUGCAACAAGAGUUGCGUGUUCACCGUCUUCGCUCGCGAUCACGGCAACCCGCGACAGGACGGCCGCACUUAUGUCACCGUCUUCUUGGCGGGGACGACCUCCUCGACGCCAACGAUCACGACCCCAUCAUCCGCUUCCGCUACUUCCCGGCCACGGCCGACUUCGCCACCGUCGACGAAAACGCGCUCGACAACAGUUAUUUUUGGGUUUCAGAGAUUGAAGAAAAAAGAGAAUUUAAUGUCAUUGUUUUGUCCCCCGGUGGAAAAUUGUGUUUUAUUCGAGGAUAUAAACCAACCAAAAAUCAAAAAAUUAUUCCCUUAUCACAUGUUAUCAUAAAAAUCCAAUCUCUGAAACCCACCACAUUAAGAAAUCGAAUUUUUAAGCUUCCAAAAAAUGAACAUGACAAUAU
rnacentral:lncRNA from 1 species